CACUCGGUGUAUCAGCGCGCGUUCCCCGUGUUACAACGGAUGUAAACAAUCGAUGCCGAUGUAUAUGCACCGACACCGACGGCAAGUGUUCACGCAAAAUGGUCGCAAUCUGUGUAUAAGCAAGAUAUGUAUGUAAUUGCCUUUGCUUUUGCCGAGAAUUGAAAACGGGUCUCUCCAAUCGAUACUAGCUCAAGGAGGAAUAUCAUUGGCUAACUUCAUAUUAACGAAACAUUCCCGCCGUGAUAUAGCUUGCAUCGAUAUUUGUUUCGUAGAAAUUGUAUUGCGAACGUGCAUCAACAACUUUUUACUGCCCUUGAAGAAUCGCGUAAUUUUUUAUAAAAAGUUCAUUUGACGAUGUAAUUGGCCGAAUAUUCUUAAUUGCUUAAAGAAGUGAAUUGAAGAAGCAAGAAAAAUCCAAACAAGAAGGAAAGAAUCGACCGUUAAUGCACGUUGGUGCCGAAGGGAGAAGGGGGAAGUAGAGAAGGAGCCCGAAUUGAAAUUAAGUCAACCUAACGUGGACUCAAGUAUGAGUAGGGAGCCAAUCCGCUCAUAGCAAGUACCCGUCGACGCAGGCGCAAUUCGAACAUAACCGUGAAACUCCUAUGUCCCCCGUACUCUUUCUCCCUUGCAUUUCCUCCUAUUUCUUGCCAACAAUCUGUCUCUUUCCCCCCUGCCUCCACCACUAACCAAUUCUUUUCUUUUCUUUUCUGUUAGUACUCUCUUUUUAGCCUCAGCUCUCUUUUUCUAAUAUUAAGUAUUCUCUUUGUUAUCCCUCCAAUGCUCCACGAUUUGUAUCUCUCUAUCCAAUCCCUCAACAAAAUCGUCAACGCAAACUAUCCAAUUGCUACCUGUCGACUAUUGCACUUAAAAGCUUGAUAAGGCCUCGAUAGUUCACACCCAUACCAUUUCUGAUAGUUUUUACAUUUUCAUUUUACAGAGGUGGUAUCGUUCAGUCGCUUACCUUUCACCUCUAAAAUUCAACAAUACGUUAUGUGCGUUCAAUGAUUGCUGUCAAAAUACAAAUAUAUUUCGUAUUAAACCGUU